GAUCUCGUAGCUCAGUUGGAUAGAGCGAUGGAUUCCUAAUCCGUAGGUCAUAGGUUCGAACCCUAUCGAGAUCA
rnacentral:tRNA from 1 species